rnacentral:rRNA from 1 species
CCUACGGGAGGCAGCAGUGGGGAAUAUUGCACAAUGGGGGGAACCCUGAUGCAGCGACGCCGCGUGGGUGAGGAAGUACUUCGGUAUGUAAAGCCCUGUCAGCAGGGAAGAAAAUGACGGUACCUGACUAAGAAGCCCCGGCUAACUACGUGCCAGCAGCCGCGGUAAUACGUAGUGGGCAAGCCUUAGCCGGAUUUACUGUGUGUAAAGGUAGCGGAGAAGGCUGGCCAAGUCUGAUGGGAAAGGCCGUGGGUCAAACCCGGGACUGCAUUGGAGACUGGUAUGCUGGAGUGCCGGAGAGGAAAGCGGAAUUCCUAGGGUAGCGGUGAAAUGCGUAGAUAGUAGGAGGAAAACCGGUGGCGAAGGCGGCUUGCUGGACGGUAACUGACGUUGAGGCUCGAAAGCGUGGGGAGCAAACAGGAUUAGAUACCCCUGUAGUC